CGGGGAGGAGGGCUCUGUUUCCGGGCUUCUAAGCACAGAACCAGAGCUGGGUUCUGAGAGCUGUCUCAGUUGGGUAGACUGUCCGUGCUUUAAGAUUUCUGCUGGCUGCAGGCUGCGUGGGAAGCACCCGGGGAGACCCUCCAGACACGCAAUGGUCACUAAAUGAAUGGGGUGCUAAAUGAGGACUCAUAUUACAGUAUGUACUUUACAAUAUUCAGGACAAAG
rnacentral:lncRNA from 1 species